UCCUUUCGUUCCGGCGGCUCCUAGAGCGUUUGCUUUGUUCCCGAUAUGUCUCGUCCCUCCGGGGUUAACUUGCAGAUGGUGAGUUGAGUCCACACAGCACAAGUUUUUUUUUUGUUAACCUCUUAUCAAGUUUAGUCGCUGUAACCGCUCCUAGUCUCCAAGUGUUGCUUAUGGAGCGCGAUCCCCAGGUUGACCUUCGAAGACGUGAUUCAAGUGGAAAAGACGCCUUCUGCUUUGGCCUGGGAAGCUUUUUGCUGGUGUAAAUGAUGAACUCACUUUUUUCCCCGUCAUAUCGACAGUGCUGAUGUUUUAAAACAUUUGCCAGUUUGUCCUGAUAAACACCAGCCUUCGAGGACCCUGGUCUUCUUUGUUCCUGGUCGAGGAUAUAGGUGGUGAUGGACGCUUUUGUUUUGUAGGUUGACCUGACCAAGCAGGACAGCAUGGAGGUUGGAGGGAGAGAAGGGCAUCGAGGGAGAUGAGAACUCACCUACCAUCUGAAAGUCUUAAGGUAUGCAUUCGUCUAGUGGCCUAAAGUGGCAAUCACGUGCUUUGAAGAGCCUUUAAGUGGGCAGUGAUAGGGAAUUUGAUGCAAGAGUUACUGCUGAGGUUCGUUGUUUUAAAAGCCCCGAGGAUUGAGCCUUAUUAUCAAAGUAUACUAAAGUCUUUUAAUUGUGUAUCUGUACAUACUGACACAGGAGAUGCAGAGCCCUGUUGUUAUUUAAAGUGUCCUGGUAGAACUGCCUGAGAAAAGGACUGAUUAAGAAAAUGGUCCCAUUGAGAUUAGUCUGUAACACAUUUUCUUGGCUGUUGAUAUGGGAGCAUUCAGCAGUUUGUGGGUGCAGUGUCUGAGCCGGGUUGAGAUUUCUUUUGUAUAUGCGUGGUAUUUAGAAAGGCAAUGAAACAUGUCUGCUAAAGUAUUUGCAGGCUAGUGCUUUUCAAGAUGUGACAAUGGCUAUCCUCCAUUACUGUAUUCUGAUAUCCACCCUGACCCACUCAGAUAAAAAUGUGAAUAUGCCCUAAAUCAAGUAGGCCCGAGAAAUGGCUUAGCAGUUAAGAGCACUGAUGGCUCUUUCGAGGGGUCCUGAGUUAAAUUUCUAGCAACCACAUGGUGGCUCACAACCAUCUAUAAUGGGGUCUGGUGCCCUCUUAUGGUGUCUCUGAAGAGAACAAUGGUGGUGUACUCGUGCAUAAAAUAUAUGAAUAAAUCUUACUCUUAAAAAAAGUAGGCCCGGGCUGGAGAGAUGGCUCAGUGGGUAAGAGCACCCGACUGCUCUUCCGAAGGUCCAGAGUUCAAAUCCCAGCAACCACAUGGUGGCUCACAACCAUCCUUAACGAGAUCUGACUCCCUCUUCUGGAGUGUCUGAGGACAGCUACAGUGUACUUACAUAUAAUAAUAAAUAAAUAAAUCUUUAAAAAAAAAAAAAAAAAGUAGGCCCAGGCAAGUUGACUUAAAUUGAGGCAAGCCUAGAGACUGAAGGGUGCUAUGUCUGAACAAUUGUCAUAUCAUUUGCAAGUGGACAGUGCCAGUCAGAGUUGUAUAUGUGAGACAGUUGCAUUUAGGGUUUGGUGCUGGAGUCAUGGGCGCCUCAGGUCAUACGUGAGGCCUCCUGGUACAUAAUGUUGAAACUUUCCAAGGCGAUUGUGAUUAUCUCAGCAAGUCCCAUUCCUUUAGCUAAUAAUUGGAGACACUGGUAUUACAGCUGUCUCCUGUAAAGGAGAUGUAGUCCUAAGUAGCUGUCUACCUAGCCCUUGGGAUCAGGCUCAGCAGCCUCCCACAGACAGGCAUGUGUGAUGACACAACUUUUUUCCCCAUCAGAUCGACCAUGUUGAUCACAUUCUUUUAAGCCAGUAUGUCUGACAUGCCUGCCUGACAGUACCCACUGCUGCUGUGCCCUUGGCGCUCAGGUAGUUGACAGGUUAUUUCUGCAUUUUAUCUCAGGUUUGCUGACAGACAAAACCGGGCUUUGAAUGGAGCGUGAACUCCUGAGGCGAGCAUUGGUGAGUGGUUUCCACGUGUCCCUCUUCCAGUGUAUACUUUGUUUCUGACAUAAACUUGGCUGGUGAACUGAUGAUAUCAUUUCUUUCCCCGUCAGAUCGACCCUGUUGAUCUCAAAUACUAAUUGCCAGUUUUGUCUGAUGCAUCAGCCCCAGGAAUAAUUCAUUGUUGGCUUUAAUCUAUUUCACUUGAUAAUGGCUUCGAUUUAUUUUCUACAGGCCCGAGAGAGCCGAGGAUGCAGGUGUUGGUCUGAUCUUGAUUUCAGGUGAGGUUCUUUUACUGUUUUAACCUGUUUCUAGGGAUGUUAUAACAAGUGUGGAGAGUAACGGGUGUUUGAUUCUUGGCUUUUGCUGCUCUGUUCAUGCUGUUAAGGUUCCUGGUGGGAUUCAAGUUCACCAUGUUGCUUGCUAAGUGGGGGUGGGGGAUGUGUUCAGCCAGAAAAGCCUAUCAACAUUUUACUUUUCUUUUUAGGUACUUUUGGAAUACAGAAUACCAGAUGUGUUCCUGCUGCCCAGCCCCACAAGGCUAUGCAGAAUGCAAAGAAGAGUUACUUUUUGGCUGGGGAGUAGUGGUAUCAUGUGCACUAUUGCUGGAAAUAAUAAAUAUUGGCCUAUCUGUAGAAAUAAAAAUCUGACUAAUGAUAUUUA
rnacentral:lncRNA from 1 species